GACGAACGCUGGCGGCGUGCCUAAUACAUGCAAGUCGAACGCAGUGGGGACGGGUGCGUCACACGUGGGUAACCUCCCAUCAGAGGGGAUAACACUUGGAAACAGGUGCUAAACCGAUACUGUUUGAUUGACCCGCGGGGCAUUAGCUAGUUGGUGAGGUAACGGCUCACCAAGGCCACGCGGCAUAGCCGGCCGGAGAGGGGGAUCGGCCACACUGGGACUGAGACACGGCCCAGACUCCUACGGGAGGCAGCAGUAGGGAAUCUUGGGCAAUGGACGAAAGUCUGACCGAGCAACGCCGCGUGAGUGAAGAAGGUUUUCGGAUCGUAAAACUCUGUUGUUAGAGAAGCGGUAUCUAACCAGAAAGCAACGGCUAACUACGUGCCAGCAGCCGCGGUAAUUC
rnacentral:rRNA from 1 species